rnacentral:rRNA from 1 species
GACGAACGCUGGCGGCGCGCUUAACACAUGCCAGUCGAACGGAAAGGCCCUGCUUUUGUGGCGUGCUCGAGUGGCGAACGCGUGAGUAACACGUGAGUAACCUGCCCCUGCCUUUGGGAUACCUUCAGGAAACCGGGGCUAAUACCGGAUAGGAGCUCCUGCUGCAUGGUGGGGGUUGGAACGUUUCGGCGGUUGGGGAUGGACUCGCGGCUUAUCAGCUUGUUGGUGGGGUAGUGGCUUACCAAGGCUUUGCCGGGUAGCCGGCCUGAGAGGGUGACCGGCCACAUGGGGACUGAGAUGCGGCCCAGACUGCUACGGGAGGCAGCAGUGGGGAACAUUGCACAAUGGGCGGAAGCCUGAUGCAGCAACGCCGCGUGCGGGAUGACGGCCUUCGGGUGUUAAACCGCUUUCGCCUGUGACGAAGCGUGAGUGACGGUAAUGGGUAAAGAAGCACCGGCUAACUACGUG